GACGAACGCUGGCGGCGUGCCUAAUACAUGCAAGUAGAACGCACAGUUUAUACCGUAGCUUGCUACACCAUAGACUGUGAGUUGCGAACGGGUGAGUAACGCGUAGGUAACCUGCCUGGUAGCGGGGGAUAACUAUUGGAAACGAUAGCUAAUACCGCAUAAUAUUGAUUAUUGCAUGAUAAUUGAUUGAAAGAUGCUAUUGCAUCACUACCAGAUGGACCUGCGUUGUAUUAGCUAGUAGGUGAGGUAACGGCUCACCUAGGCGACGAUACAUAGCCGACCUGAGAGGAUGAGCGGCCACGCUGGGACGGGGACACGGCCCAGACUCCUGCGGGAGGCAGCAGUAGGGAAUCUUCGGCAAUGGACGAAAGUCUGACCGAGCAACGCCGCGUGAGUGAAGAAGGUUUUCGGAUCGUAAAGCUCUGUUGUAAGAGAAGAACGGGUGUGAGAGUGGAAAGUUCACACUGUGACGGUAUCUUACCAGAAAGGGACGGCUAACUACGUG
rnacentral:rRNA from 1 species